rnacentral:rRNA from 1 species
AUUGAACGCUGGCGGCAUGCCUUACACAUGCAAGUCGAACGGUAGAGGGGGCAACCCCUCGAGAGUGGCGAACGGGUGAGUAAUGCAUCGGAACGUGCCCAGUAGUGGGGGAUAGCCCGGCGAAAGCCGGAUUAAUACCGCAUGAGACCUACGGGUGAAAGGGGGGGAUCGCAAGACCUCUCGCUAUUGGAGCGGCCGAUGUCAAAUUAGGUAGUUGGUGGGGUAAAGGCCUACCAAGCCGACGAUCUGUAGCUGGUCUGAGAGGACGACCAGCCACACUGGGACUGAGACACGGCCCAGACUCCUACGGGAGGCAGCAGUGGGGAAUUUUGGACAAUGGGCGAAAGCCUGAUCCAGCCAUGCCGCGUGCGGGAAGAAGGCCUUCGGGUUGUAAACCGCUUUUGUCAGGGAAGAAAUCCUUUGAGCUAAUACCUCGGGGGGAUGACGGUACCCGAAGAAUAAGCACCGGCUAACUACGUGCCAGCCGCCGCAGUAA